AGAGUUUGAUCAUGGCUCAGAUUGAACGCUGGCGGCAUGCUUUACACAUGCAAGUCGAGCGGCAGCGCGGGGGCAACCCUGGCGGCGAGCGGCGAACGGGUGAGUAAUGCAUCGGAACGUGUCCCGUAAUGGGGGAUAACGCCGCGAAAGCGGCGCUAAUACCGCAUACGCUCUACGGAGGAAAGUGGGGGACCUGCAAGGGCCUCACGUUAGGGGAGCGGCCGAUGUCCGAUUAGCUAGUUGGUGGGGUAAUGGCUUACCAAGGCGACGAUCGGUAGCUGGUCUGAGAGGAUGAUCAGCCACACUGGGACUGAGACACGGCCCAGACUCCUACGGGAGGCAGCAGCAAGGAAUUUUGCGCAAUGGGGGAAACCCUGACGCAGCAACGCCGCGUGGGUGAAGAAGGCCUUCGGGUUGUAAAGCCCUUUUGAAGGGGAAGAUAAUGACGGUACCCUUCGAAUAAGCCUCGGCUAACUACGUGCCAGCAGCCGCGGUAAUUC
rnacentral:rRNA from 1 species